rnacentral:lncRNA from 1 species
AUGAUUUCGAUGAAGGCGAUAUCUCUUUUGGUAAUCCCUUUGUACACAUUGAAUGGAGCUGAAUCAAUAACAGAGAACAGAAAAAAAGUACACAAGCAGGCGACAUCACUCGCAGAACAGAGUACCAAAGAGGAAAACAACGAAGCGAUUAGAUCAGCCUGGUUUACAUUAUUCAAAAACCCAAGGUACGAAAAUGCAGAAAGUGUUGAAACUUAUGUGAGCAGAACAGGGCUGGAAAAUGCGGACGACAUUGAAAAGAAAAUGAUAGAGGAGAACGAAAAGUGAUUUUUCCAAGGUAAGCCGUAAAAUUGAAUGUUUUCAGAAUAUCCAGUCAACAAAUUCUUGUAGGAGUUCAAUUAUGAGAAAAACGAUUAUUUUUCAUAUUUUAAAAGGGUGUUUGAAGAAGUAUCGUUAAUAGUACAUUCACUGCUUUCAGAGGGUGUGACUCGAGAUUUAUGUUUGAAAAUUUGCCAAAGGAAAAAUUUAAAGAGGCGACACGCUAAGACAAAACUUCAUCGAAUCCUAUUUUGUCGUUCAAUUUGCCUUUCAACUUAUCAAGUAGAUAUAAUUAGCUCAUAUGAUUUACUGGAUUUUUUCAUUUUGUACGGUGAUGAGAAUUUAAAGCUCUUGAAUAAGAUGCGUUUGGUAACGUUGUUUUCUCUGUACACAGAAGCUGCGUCACUUAACGGUGACCAUUUUGAGUUUUUUUUUUUUUUACUUUUUUUUACUUUUUUUUUUACUUUUUUGGGGACUUCUAUUCCUGUUUAUUUAGUCACUUAGGAAUCUACAGCCGUCUAUAGACAUGAGUUUUAACAUAAGGAUUAUUUCAUUGUCAGUAGACAAUGGAGGGAUUUCGGCACAUUCAUGCUCCGGCUUUCAAAUUUUCAGGGAUUAAGGUGGAGUAAAAUCUGUUUCUGCAGAUCCAUUCGUCAUAGUUCCGUGAAAAUUUGUCGCCACCAUCGGGAUUCGAAUUUAGGACCCAACGGUCUAGAGUCAGACGCGCUGACCGUUAGGCCAACCUGACCGCGGCAUUUUGAGUUAUUUUGUGGAAAUUUAAAAACCGGAUGUCUCAUCUAUAUCAAAUUUUGUCUUUGAGUUACCAUACAUUCUAAAACGGCGGAAAACUAAGGGUUUUACAGAUUUUUUAUACGCAAAUUAAACUAAAACUAUUAAUUUAUUUCCGCCGAUCUAGCUGUAGUUUACAAGAGAUCUGCGAUAUGAACUAUAUAGUACGGAAAGGAGGACCAAACUACGUUUUGGGAAAAAUUCAGGAAUGAGCCUAAAAGCACUUAAGGCGCGCGAGCUCUCCGUGCUUUGCGACCGAAAGUUUAAACCUAUGGAAAUCUAUCGAUUUUUGGAGGGGCCAGGUGCUCCGACAAGAAUCGAUUAUUUACCAUAGGUUUAAUGGAAGGAAUCCGGUGCUACCAAAUUGCUGGACCCGCCUCUGUGCGAGAGAAGUCUAUCAAUGAAGGACUUUCAUUGUAGACGGAUUUGUUUUUCAAGUAGAAAGGUCCUCGUUCGAUAUUGAUUGAAGUAAGAAAUGAGUUGUUUUUUUUCUUCGUUAUGAGAGGCUGGUAAGUUGGUUUGGCACUAAGAAUUUUAAAGUAUCCUCUAGGGUUAAUAUUGCUUGCAACAACAUAACAUUGACGCCUAUGCAAAACUAGGGGGCUAUGCCCCCUGGCCGCUACGCGGCCCAACCCCCAGAGGGUCUUCGCCCACUCUUAGGCCCACUUCGACAAAAGAACGACCAAAAAACAUAACAUGGAAAGAUUUCCAUACUCGACUCUCAUUUGUCGAAUCUUCCUCUGGCCGGGAGCAAUUGGACCAAUAAAAAUCCAAUAAGAAAACCGUCAUUUAUUUCAAACUUCAGGCCAAUACUGAAACGAAACGAAACGAACAGAACAAAGCGUUUCGUUACUUUUGAAUAGUCUGAAGUAAAGGAGCAUACCUUCAAUUCACUUACCUUACCCUACUAACAGACCAAGAUUCACAAUUUCCCGCUUAGUUCAAUUUUGCCCUUUUCCUAAACUCCCAGGUAUAUACUCUAUUAUAAAAAAAUCUGGGUCAUAUUUCCAGAAUCUGAUUACAGCGGGCUCAUUUAGGGACUAUCACCUGUCGAUAACCGCAAAAAUUAUGAAACUCGGUCCAGUAGAACGCCCAAACGGAACUAUGGCAAAAAAUAAAAAAUUACAUUGUUUAAAUUGGAGAAUUUGCGACUUCACCGCGUAAUAUGAAAAAAACUUGGGUCAAAUUUUCAAAAUUUGAAUUAAGCGGGCUCAUCUAGAGACAAUUGCCUGUUGAUAGCCGCAAAAAUCAAGAGAAUUGGCCCGGUAGAACGCUGGAACUAUGCGUUACCAGAUAUGCACAUCUCGGAGGCUUCGGAGCUUAUAUGAUGAUAUAUUUGUGAUUAAUUGCAGGCAAAUACUCGUCGAAACAUCUGGAUUGAAGAAACUACAUUGGAUACGCGUGGAUUCAGGGCGCCAGAUUUACAUGACCGAAGACAAAAGACCUGUUACAAGGUGAGAAACAAAAUAAACAAGUUAACACUAUAAAAGUAAGCUCAAGUUAUUAUAUUUAAAAAAAGAUAAUUAGGCAUAUGAAAAUUAUGAUAUUUGGGGUGUGAAAACUUUCUUUUUUUCAUUUUUCUGUUUUCAGAGGAUAAAUAUGAUUAUGACGCGCCCGACACCAGACGCUACCCCGAUGACAGAGGCAUGACUUUUUACUCCGGUCGCACGACAUCCAGAUAUUUUCCCGAUUUCGAACAGGAUCGUUGAAGUGUUUAAAGAAUCCAUUCGUAUAAAAACCCAUGCAAUUUCAAGAACUGUAGAAAAAUGAAUGGAGUGUUGAAUUUAAAAAUCGAAGCCGUAGUUUAUAAAAUUGAUUUGACUCUAAAACUCAAAAGAAGAAACCAAAAUGUAACAUAAAUGUACCUAAUUAAUUUAUCAGAAUAAUAAUAAAAAAACCUGGUUAUUUAUGUUCUUUCACCUGUUAUUCCAUGGAUUUGCUAUGUGCGCGAGCUUUGCUACGGAAUUUUCUUUUAUACAGGGUUAUCCAAAAGUCACUGACCACCCCUGUAACUUUUUUCCAAAUUGAGAUAGAAGUUUGAAACUUUGGGAAUGUUCCUCGGUCUAAGGUAGCAACUUUUUGGUCCCCCCAAAAUUUUGGGGGGCUGCCCCCCUUAAGGGGGGCGGGGGCUAACUUUUUUUUUCAAAUGGCAACCACCCCUUUGUGAUACCUCAUUCAAAAAAUAAUAAAAAAGAAAAUUUUUGGC